UACGGAGGGGGCUAGCGUUGUUCGGAAUUCCUGGGCGUAAAGCGCACGUAGGCGGCUUUGCAAGUCAGAGGUGAAAGCCCGGGGCUCAACCCCGGAAUUGCCUUUGAGACUGCAUCGCUAGAAUUGUGGAGAGGUAAGUGGAAUUCCGAGUGUAGAGGUGAAAUUCGUAGAUAUUCGGAAGAACACCAGUGGCGAAGGCGACUUACUGGACACAUAUUGACGCUGAGGUGCGAAAGCGUGGGGAGCAAACAGG
rnacentral:rRNA from 1 species